rnacentral:rRNA from 1 species
UUGCUCUUCUUGGAUGAGUUGCGAACGGGUGAGUAACGCGUAGGUAACCUGCCUUGUAGCGGGGGAUAACUAUUGGAAACGAUAGCUAAUACCGCAUAACAAUGGGUGACUCAUGUCAUUUAUUUGAAAGGGGCAAAUGCUCCACUACAAGAUGGACCUGCGUUGUAUUAGCUAGUAGGUGAGGUAACGGCUCACCUAGGCGACGAUACAUAACCGACCUGAGAGGGUGAUCGGCCACACUGGGACUGAGACACGGCCCAGACUCCUACGGGAGGCAGCAGUAGGGAAUCUUCGGCAAUGGGGGCAACCCUGACCGAGCAACGCCGCGUGAGUGAAGAAGGUUUUCGGAUCGUAAAACUCUGUUGUAAGUCAAGAACGAGUGUGAGAGUGGAAAGUUCACACUGUGACGGUAGCUUACCAGAAAGGGACGGCUAACUACGUGCCAGCAGCCGCGGUAAUACGUAGGUCCCGAGCGUUGUCCGGAUUUAUUGGGCGUAAAGCGAGCGCAGGCGGUUUGAUAAGUCUGAAGUUAAAGGCUGUGGCUCAACCAUAGUUCGCUUUGGAAACUGUCAAACUUGAGUGCAGAAGGGGAGAGUGGAAUUCCAUGUGUAGCGGUGAAAUGUGUAGAUAUAUGGAGGAACACCGGUGGCGAAAGCGCUC